UACAGAGACUGCAAGCGUUAUUCGGAUUCACUGGGCGUAAAGGGUGCGCAGGCGGCCAAGUGUGUGAGGCGUGAAAGCCCGGGGCUUAACCCCGGAAUUGCACCUCAAACUACAUGGCUAGAGCAUUGGAGAGGGUAGCAGAAUUCACGGUGUAGCAGUGAAAUGCGUAGAUAUCGUGAGGAACACCAGAGGCGAAGGCGGCUACCUGGACAAUUGCUGACGCUCAGGCACGAAAGCGUGGGGAGCAAAAGGG
rnacentral:rRNA from 1 species